rnacentral:sRNA from 2 species
ACCUAUUAAAAGGUUCCUGAUGGGAUCCUUUUUUUAUUUCUGGGAAACUGGAUAAAAGGAGAAGCCCUGUAACCGAAAGGUGGAAAAAAUAUG